CAUUCGUCCUAUGCCUCUCAGGAUGCUUCUUCUAUCCUGCUCCUAAUUGGAAUACCAAAAACAUUGCUGCAGGACUAUAGCAGUGAGUAGGAGGCUGUAGUAAAUAGGGAGAGAGAGCAGCUUUACUUCAGGCCGGGGCGGCUCCACGGGUCCCUACCAAGGGAACCCGCUCCAAAUCCAAAAAAAACCACACCACUGCUUUCAGAAGCUGGGCUGCAGGUCACAGCCGCCCCAUCCCAGGUUGAGACCUCUCCUCAAACCUUGCCACCAGCUGAAGAAGAAGGGGCUGCCUCGCAGCUGCCAGUCCGGAGGGAGAAACCCUUCUACCACUGGGAAAAUUCUGCAGUUUCUGCAGUUGUUCCUUCAGCUGGUACUGUAGCCACUGCAGCCCCCUGGCCACUGGAGAAAGAAAGAAAAGGAAACUACACACUGUGGCCACCGGCACCUCACGACCACUUGUAAUCACCACGGGUGGGGAAACAAAGACUCCUGGCA